GAGUUUGACGUGGCUCAGGAUGAACGCUGGCGGCGUGCUUAACACAUGCAAGUCGAACGGGAAUUAUUUUAUUGAAACUUCGGUGGAUUUAAUUUAAUUCUAGUGGCGGACGGGUGAGUAACGCGUGGGUAACCUGCCUUAUACAGGGGGAUAACAGCCGGAAACGGCUGCUAAUACCGCAUAAGCGCACAGAGGCGCAUGCUUCCGUGUGAAAAACUGAGGUGGUAUAAGAUGGACCCGCGUUGGAUUAGCUAGUUGGCAGGGCAGCGGCCUACCAAGGCGACGAUCCAUAGCCGGCCUGAGAGGGUGGACGGCCACAUUGGGACUGAGACACGGCCCAGACUCCUACGGGAGGCAGCAGUGGGGAAUAUUGCACAAUGGGGGAA
rnacentral:rRNA from 1 species